GACGAACCGUACGAACGUUACUCGGAAUCACUGGGCUUAAAGGGUGCGUAGGCUGUCCGGUAAGUUGGGUGUGAAAUCCCUCGGCUUAACCGAGGAAUUGCGCCCAAAACUGUCGGACUCGAGGGAGACAGAGGUGAGCGGAACUUAGGGUGGAGCGGUGAAAUGCGUUGAUAUCCUAAGGAACACCAGUGGCGAAAGCGGCUCACUGGGUCUUUUCUGACGCUGAGGCACGAAAGCUAGGGGAG
rnacentral:rRNA from 1 species